rnacentral:rRNA from 1 species
AACGAACGCUGGCGGCAGGCUUAACACAUGCAAGUCGAACGAUGUAGCAAUACAUAGUGGCGCACGGGUGAGUAACGCGUGGGAAUAUACCGAGAAGUGGGGAAUAACUCCGGGAAACUGGAGCUAAUACCGCAUACGCCCUACGGGGGAAAGAUUUAUCGCUUUUCGAUUAGCCCGCGUGAGAUUAGGUAGUUGGUGGGGUAAUGGCCUACCAAGCCGACGAUCUCUAGCCGGUCUGAGAGGAUGAUCAGCCACACUGGAACUGAGACACGGUCCAGACUCCUACGGGAGGCAGCAGUGGGGAAUAUUGGACAAUGGGCGAAAGCCUGAUCCAGCCAUGCCGCGUGAGUGAUGAAGGCUCUAGGGUUGUAAAGCUCUUUCGCCGAUGAAGAUAAUGACGGUAGUCGGAGAAGAAGCCCCGGCUAACUUCGUGCCAGCAGCCGCGGUAA